AAAUAUCAGGCAAUUCAGAUAGAUUUGGAUAUACAUUAUUCGGUUAAUUUGGUUCUUUCGGUGAUUUGGAAAAAUUCAAAAUAUUUUGGAUAAAAAUGUUAGGGUAAUUUCUUUUUGGUUGUGAGUGUAUAAGUAAUAUUUAAAAAUAUUGGGUAAUUUUAAAACUAAAAAUAUUUGGUAAUUUUCUUUGUUCGGAUUUGGUUUGGGGUUUUCGACUCCAUAUAUAUGUGAACCUUUUGGUUAUUUGUGAGAUCAAUUUGAAUUCGAAUUCAUUUUUUUCUUCUUCUGUUUUGGUUUGGUUGUCGGUUAAUACUAAAAUAAAUUAAUACUAAGUAAGAAUAAUUACUGUUUAAUUUAUUUUGUAGAAUUUUAUAUCUAAAAUUAUAAAAUUUUUACAC
rnacentral:lncRNA from 1 species